UCCAUUUCCAAUGUGGACGAGGUCUUGUUC
rnacentral:piRNA from 1 species